rnacentral:rRNA from 1 species
UACGUAGGGUGCAAGCGUUGUCCGGAAUUAUUGGGCGUAAAGAGCUCGUAGGCGGUUUGUCGCGUCUGCUGUGAAAACCCGAGGCUCAACCUCGGGCCUGCAGUGGGUACGGGCAGACUAGAGUGCGGUAGGGGAGAUUGGAAUUCCUGGUGUAGCGGUGGAAUGCGCAGAUAUCAGGAGGAACACCAAUGGCGAAGGCAGAUCUCUGGGCCGUAACUGACGCUGAGGCGCGAAAGCGUGGGGAGCGAACAGG